UGGACAGAUUAUUGUAUUCGAUUAUAUUCACGGCGUGAAACAGGGGAUUACACUGUUUUUAAAUGGAAAGUGAAUCAAUUAACAUAAUAGACUCCU
rnacentral:pre_miRNA from 1 species